rnacentral:tRNA from 1 species
GCCUGUUUGGCUCAGUCGGUAGAACAUGUGACUCUUUGAUCUCAGGGUUGUGAGUUCGAGUCCCACAUUGGGUG